rnacentral:rRNA from 1 species
UACGUAGGGUGCGAGCGUUAAUCGGAAUUACUGGGCGUAAAGCGUGCGCAGGCGGUUUUGUAAGCCAGAUGUGAAAUCCCCGGGCUUAACCUGGGAAUGGCAUUUGGGACUGCAAGGCUCGAGUGCGGCAGAGGAGACUGGAAUUCCUGGUGUAGCAGUGAAAUGCGUAGAUAUCAGGAGGAACACCGAUGGCGAAGGCAGGUCUCUGGGCUGACACUGACGCUCAUGCACGAAAGCGUGGGGAGCG